CGGCGGACGGGUGAGUAAUGCCUAGGAAUCUGCCUGGUAGUGGGGGACGAACGUUUCGAAAGGAACGCUAAUACCGCAUACGUCCUACGGGAGAAAGCAGGGACCUUCGGGCCUUGCGCUAUCAGAUGAGCCUAGGUCGGAUUAGCUAGUUGGUGAGGUAAUGGCUCACCAAGGCGACGAUCCGUAACUGGUCUGAGAGGAUGAUCAGUCACACUGGAACUGAGACACGGUCCAGACUCCUACGGGAGGCAGCAGAU
rnacentral:rRNA from 1 species